UUCCGGUUGAUCCCGCCGGAGGCCAUUGCUAUUGGAGUCCGAUUUAGCCAUGCUAGUCGCACGGGUUCAGACCCGUGGCGAAUAGCUCCGUAACACGUGGCCAAACUACCCUAUGGAUCGGAAUAACCUCGGGAAACUGAGGCUAAUACCGAAUACCGCUCUCACGUUGGAAUUACAGAGAGCACGAAACGCUCCGGCGCCAUAGGAUGUGGCUGCGGCCGAUUAGGUAGACGGUGGGGUAACGGCCCACCGUGCCGAUAAUCGGUACGGGUUGUGAGAGCAAGAACCCGGAGACGGUAUCUGAGACAAGAUACCGGGCCCUACGGGGCGCAGCAGGCGCGAAACCUUUACACUGCACGAACGUGCGAUAAGGGGACUCCAAGUGCGAGGGCAUACAGUCCUCGCUUUUCCCUACCGUAAGGUGGUAGGUGAAUAAGAGCUGGGCAAGACCGGUGCCAGCCGCCGCGGUAAUACCGGCAGCUCGAGUGAUGGCCAAUAUUAUUGGGUCUAAAGCGUCCGUAGCUGGCCGAACAGGUCCGUCGGGAAAUCCGCUCGCUCAACGAGCGGACGUCCGGCGGAAACCAGUCGGCUUGGGACCGGAAGACCCGAGGGGUACGUCCGGGGUAGGAGUGAAAUCCUGUAAUCCUGGACGGACACCGGUGGCGAAAGCGCCUCGGGAGGACGGAUCCGACAGUGAGGGACGAAAGCUUGGGUCACGAACCGGAUUAGAUACCCGGGUAGUCCAAGCUGUAAACGAUGCUCGCUAGGUGUGGCACUGGCUACGAGCCAGUGCUGUGCCGUAGGGAAGCCGAGAAGCGAGCCGCCUGGGAAGUACGUCCGCAAGGAUGAAACUUAAAGGAAUUGGCGGGGGAGCACUACAACCGGAGGAGCCUGCGGUUUAAUUGGAUUCAACGCCGGA
rnacentral:rRNA from 1 species